rnacentral:rRNA from 1 species
GAUGAACGCUGGCUGCGUGCCUAAUACAUGCAAGUCGAGCGAACGUACGAGAAGCUCGCGUCUCUGUGGUUAGGUGCGGACGUGUGAGUAACACGUGGAUAACCUGCCUAUAAGACUAGGAUAACUUCGGUAAACCGUAGCUGACACCGGAUCAUAUUUUCAACCUCAUGGUUCAAAAGUUAUAGACGGUCUUGCUGUCACUUAUAGAUGGAUCCGCGCUGCAUUAGCUAGUUGGUAAGGUAACGGCUUACCAAGGCAACGAUGCAUAGCCGACCUGAGAGGGUGAUCGGCCACACUGGAACUGAGACAAGGUCCAGAGUCCUACGGGAGGCAGCAGUAGGGAAUGUUGCGCAAUGGGCGAAAGCCUGACGGAGCAACGCCGAGUGAGUGAUGAAGGCCUUCGGAUCGUAAAACUCUGUUAUUAGGGAAGAACAUAUGUGUAAGUAACUGUGCACAUCUUGACGGUACCUAAUCAGAAAGCCACGGCUAACUCCGUG